UACGUAGGGGGCAAGCGUUGUCCGGAUUCAUUGGGCGUAAAGAGCGUGUAGGCGGCCAGGUAGGUCGGUUGUGAAAACUGGAGGCUCAACCUUCAGAGGUCGACCGAAACCAUCUGGCUAGAGUCCGGGAGGAGGAGAGUGGAAUUCCUGGUGUAGCGGUGAAAUGCGCAGAUAUCAGGAAGAACACCCGUGGCGAAAGCGACUCACUGGGUCGUCUUACUGACGCUGGAGGCACGAAAGCUAGGGUAGCGAACGGG
rnacentral:rRNA from 1 species